rnacentral:rRNA from 1 species
CCUACGGGAGGCAGCAGUGGGGAAUAUUGCACAAUGGGGGAAACCCUGAUGCAGCGACGCCGCGUGAGCGAUGAAGUAUUUCGGUAUGUAAAGCUCUAUCAGCAGGGACGAAGCUGACGGUACUUGACUAAGAAGCACCGGCUAACUACGUGCCAGCAGCCGCCGUAAUAAGUAGGGGGCAAGCGUUAUCCGGAUUUACUGGGUGUAAAGGGAGCGUAGGCGGCGAUGCAAGCCAGAUGUGAAAGCCCGGGGCUCAACACCGGGACUGCAUUUGGAACUGUGUGUCUGGAGUGUCGGAGAGGCAGGCGGAAUUCCUAGUGUAGCGGUGAAAUGCGUAGAUAUUAGGAGGAACACCAGUGGCGAAGGCGGCCUGCUGGACGAUGACUGACGUUGAGGCGCGAAAGCGUGGGGAGCAAACAGGAUUAGAUACCCGUGUAGUC